UCAGACAUGGUGUAGUGGGAACAUAGCCUUUUAUCAUUCACAAACAUAGCCGAAAUAUGGAGGCAGUCUAGGGUUCGACUCCCUGUGUCUGAA